GAUAAUGUGGCCGAGUGUCCUAUGGUGCUGGUUUAGGCACCAGUCUCUUCGGAGGCAAGGGUUCGAAUCCCUUCACUGUCA
rfam:Daphnia pulex DAPPTscaffold_2310_Cont14063, whole genome shotgun sequence.